rnacentral:rRNA from 1 species
UACGUAGGUGGCAAGCGUUGUCCGGAUUUACUGGGCGUAAAGAGCGCGCAGGCGGUCGUUCAAGUCGCGUGUGAAAGCCCCCGGCUCAACUGGGGAGGGUCACGCGAUACUGAUCGACUCGAAGGCAGGAGAGGGUAGUGGAAUUCCCGGUGUAGUGGUGAAAUGCUUAGAUAUGACAUAGAACACCAAUUGCGAAGGCAGCUUACUACACAAUGAUUGACGCUGAGGCACGAAAGCGUGGAGAUCAAACAGG